rnacentral:sRNA from 1 species
GGGCGGGGUGGUGGUGGCCUGGAGACCCCCAAAGGGAAAGUGUCCCCUGCGCUGCUCCUGCUCCAAAGACAGCGCCCUGUGUGAGGGCUCCCCGGACCUGCCUGUCAGCUUCUCUCCGACCCUGCUGUCACUCUCACUCGUCAGAACAGGAGUCACCCAGCUGAAGGCCGGCAGCUUCCUGAGAAUUCCGUCUCUGCACCUGCUCCUCUUCACCUCCAACUCCUUCUCCGUGAUUGAGGAUGAUGCAUUUGCGGGCCUGUCCCACCUGCAGUACCUCUUCAUCGAGGACAAUGAGAUUGGCUCCAUCUCUAAGAAUGCCCUCAGAGGACUUCGCUCACUUACACACCUAAGCCUGGCCAAUAACCAUCUGGAGACCCUCCCCAGAUUCCUGUUCCGAGGCCUGGACACCCUUACUCACAGCUCCAUGAGGUCCAGAAGCCCCCCUCUCAACCCGCUCCCACCCCCGCUGGUCCCUCUGAAAGCACUGAGGGGUUGAUGGCAUUCCUUUCCCAUUCUAAACUCCACGCAGCCAAUCGCUUUCCUGGAGAAGCGCCAACCUCGAAGACAACUCAGCGCUGGGCGGGUUCCCCUCUGCUGCUUGUGCGCAUGCGU